rnacentral:rRNA from 1 species
GGAUAACCUACCCUUAGGACCGGGAUAACCUUGGGAAACUGAGGAUAAUACUGGAUAGGCAAUUUUUCCUGUAAUGGUUUUUUGUUUAAAUGUUUUUUCGCCUAAGGAUGGGUCUGCGGCCGAUUAGGUAGUUGGUUAGGUAACGGCUUACCAAGCCGUUGAUCGGUACGGGUUGUGAGAGCAAGAGCCCGGAGAUGGAACCUGAGACAAGGUUCCAGGCCCUACGGGGUGCAGCAGGCGCGAAACCUCCGCAAUGUGAGAAAUCGCGACGGGGGGAUCCCAAGUGCCAUUCUUAACGGGAUGGCUUUUCAUUAGUGUAAAAAGCUUUUGGAAUAAGAGCUGGGCAAGACCGGUGCCAGCCGCCGCGGUAACACCGGCAGCUCUAGUGGUAGCAAUUUUUAUUGGGCCUAAAGCGUCCGUAGCCGGUUUAAUAAGUCUCUGGUGAAAUCCUGUAGCUUAACUGUGGGAAUUGCUGGAGAUACUAUUAGACUUGAGACCGGGAGAGGUUAGAGGUACUCCCAGGGUAGAGGUGAAAUUCUGUAAUCCUGGGAGGACCGCCUGUUGCGAAGGCGUCUAACUGGAACGGUUCUGACGGUGAGGGACGAAAGUUAGGGGCGCGAACCGGAUUAGAUACCCGGGUAGUCCUAACUGUAAACGAUGCGGACUUGGUGUUGGGGUGGCUU